CGAACCUGCCGUCCUAGGGAAAGAAAACGAAACCGGAGCGUGUGGAGGCGCGAGAACUUCUUGCAAGGGGUGGGACCUGCAUUUCGACACUUUAGGAUAGGGAGGGAAGAGCUGAGGAUAUUAAUGAUGGAGACCAUUACUGAAAAUUGAAAUCAAUCAAAAUGCAGAGCUGUGGAGCCCAGUCUCCACAAAACACUCUUUCCACUAAGGCUCAGGGAACAUUGAAAAACAGUGGAUGGAAAGAUGCAAAAGCCAGAGGAUCAGUAUGUUUGCUGUGAUUGUGUCUUCUGGAAAUCUCAGAAUCUAUGCUUGUGAAGUCCUCCCAACAUGACUGCCUAAGCAUGAGCUGAACAAGGAGGACGCCAAACACAGGAAGCCAAAAAGCUAUGGUUUACAAAAGUGAAGCCUCUGGUAUUUGCAAGUAUUUCUGAUUCUUCUGGACCAGGCUCUGUCUUCACCUUUGACCCACACUGUCAAACUGUUUUUCUGAUACUGUUCACGCCAUAUCUCCUCGUGUAGGCUAUGGUUAUUGUGUAAUUCAAAUGCUGAUUUCUAUACCCCACCCCCAUUUUCUGGUUGUAAUCUUUGUUCCAAGAAUUGCCUGUCACAAUGUUGUGUAAACACUGCUCCCCAAGUGUCCCCUGGUGUGCCAAUAAAGCAGCUUAGAGCCAAUCGCUGAACAAGGGGGAGAAUCUGGCCUGGACUUCCUGCCAGCCAGGGGAGGAGUUAGAGGAGGGAGUUGGGCCAUGGGCAGAAGUCCAAGAGACAUCAAGAGAAGGAGCUGGAGGAGUGCAAGUAUCACUGGGCUGUACCCUGGGAAGAAAGCAGAUUAGCAAGGAAGGUUAAGAAUAGAGCAAUAACUGCUUAGUUAUUGUGUUGUGAAGCUUGUUAUUAAACAAAUAUAAAAGAGUCCACAGACUUCCACACAGGUGCAGAGAACACAUACUCAGCAUAUACACAAUAACUGUAUAAACUGAAUAUGUGACCAAUCCAUGGUAUGGUUAAAGGAAAGAUUUUUUUAUUAUAGAUGUGAGAGAACAGCCAGAGGCAUUUGAAAGAGCACAGAGCAGAGAAAGAAAGUAGUAGACUAAACAUGGCCAGCAGACUGACUGUUCCUGGCCAGGGCUAUCUUUUAGAGAGGGGAGAUAGCAGGAAAUAGAGAACAGAGAAAGCAUAGCAAGUUUAUUUCUGGGUAUCUGGACUAUACAAACUACCUCUUGUAGUUUGGGGAGUUGGAAUUUCCUUUGGACCUGACAAUAACA